AAAACAUCUGAGAAGGAACGAGUAAGUUACGAAGAAACGUACAGAAAAAAUUGCCUUGGCUGAAAGCAAUUUCGUAGGAAGUAACUGAAAGACAGUCUGGAGAUGAGCGCGUGAAAAGCCGCUCCGUUACGCAAGCGUUAAUUGCUAGAGAAAAAAGAGUCUGCUCUUUUUUAAAAAUAGGUGGUACCACGAAAUUUUCGUCCUUGUU
rnacentral:ncRNA from 1 species